CGUAGCCAAUCUAACCUAUGGACGGGGAUAACCUCGGGAAACUGAGGAUAAACCCCGAUAGAUCAUUAUGCCUGGAAAGGUUUAUGGUCCAAAUGAUUCGUCGCCGUAGGAUGAGACUGCGGCCUAUCAGCUUGUUGGUGAGGUAAUGGCCCACCAAGGCUAUUACAGGUACGGGCUCUGAGAGGAGAAGCCCGGAGAUGGGUACUGAGACACGGACCCAGGCCCUAUGGGGCGCAGCAGGCGAGAAACCUUUGCAAUGUGCGCAAGCACGACAAGGUUAAUCCGAGUGUUUCCUGCUAAAGGAAUCUUUUGUUAGUCCUAAAAACACUAGUGAAUAAGGGGUGGGCAAGUUCUGGUGUCAGCCGCCGCGGUAAAACCAGCACCUCAAGUGGUCAGGAGGAUUAUUGGGCCUAAAGCAUCCGUAGCUUGCUCUGUAAGUUUCCGGUUAAAUCUAUUAGCUCAACUAAUGGGCUGCCGGAAAAACUGCAAAGCUAGGAAGUGGGAGAGGUAGACGGUACUCGGUAGGAAGGGGUAAAAUCCUUUGAUCUAUUGAUGACCACCUGUGGCGAAGGCGGUCUACCAGAACACGUUCGACAGUGAGGGAUGAAAGCUGGGGGAGCAAACCGGAUUAGAUACCCGGGUAGUCCCAGCUGUAAACGAUGCAGACUCGGUGAUGCCCUGGCUUGUGGCCAGUGCAGUGCCGCAGGGAAGCCGUUAAGUUUGCCGCCUGGGAAGUACGUACGCAAGUAUGAAACUUAAAGGAAUUGGCGGGGGAGCACCACAAGGGGUGAAGCCUGCGGUUCAAUUGGAGUCAACGCCGGG
rnacentral:rRNA from 1 species